UCGGGCGUGGUGUACGGUACACACUCCUUUCUUCUGAGCCUCAAAUAAUAUCCAGAGGAGAGUUCCGGGUUCGACUCCCGGUCCCCGAG